UGGGGAUAAAUUUUGGAGGGAUAUCUCUAUAUUGCAGAAAGGAUUGGCUAUUCCACGGGAUAAGUCACUUUGUGAUAUUUGAUUGAAGGCACAAGUACAGAGAAUAAAGAGUGCAUCAGGUUUAUUGCUACAUCCCAUCAUUUCUCAACAUACAUUUCAGAACUCUCAGGCGACAUAUGCUGCUUAUUGUCAAUCCAGUCGCAAGCCUAUUGUGGCAUUGUGCUGCUGCUUAGUCCGAAAUAGAGAAAGCUCCAC
rnacentral:lncRNA from 1 species